rnacentral:rRNA from 1 species
CCUACGGGAGGCAGCAGUGGGGAAUAUUGCACAAUGGGCGCAACCCUGAUGCAGCAACGCCGCGUGAGUGAAGAAGUAUUUCGGUUUGUAAACUUCUAUUAUCAGGGACGAAGCAGAUGGCGGUAGCAGAAGAAGCCGCCACUACUAACGUGGUACCAGCAGCAGCGGUAAGACGUAGGUAGCAGGCGUUAUCCGGAUGUGCUGGGUGUAAAGGGGGAGUAGGCGGGAAAGCAAGUCAGAGGUGAAACCCAGGGGCUCAACCUGUGGACUGCAUUUGAAACUGUGUUGCUUGAGUACUGGAGAGGCAGACGGAAUUCCUAGUGUAGCGGUGAAAUGCGUAGAUAUUAGGAGGAACACCAGUGGCGAAGGCGGUCUGCUGGACAGUAACUGACGAUGAGGCGCGAAAGCGUGGGGAGCAAACAGGAUUAGAUACCCUAGUAGUC